rnacentral:rRNA from 1 species
CGUUUCAGAUUGAACGCUGGCGGAAUGCUUUACACAUGCAAGUCGAACGGCAGCAUAGGUGCUUGCACCUGAUGGCGAGUGGCGAACGGGUGAGUAAUACAUCGGAACGUGCCCAGUCGUGGGGGAUAACGUAGCGAAAGUUACGCUAAUACCGCAUACGAUCUACGGAUGAAAGCGGGGGACCGUAAGGCCUCGCGCGAUUGGAGCGGCCGAUGUUAGAUUAGGUAGUUGGUGGGGUAAAAGCUCACCAAGCCGACGAUCUAUAGCUGGUCUGAGAGGAUGAUCAGCCACACUGGGACUGAGACACGGCCCAGACUCCUACGGGAGGCAGCAGUGGGGAAUUUUGGACAAUGGGCGCAAGCCUGAUCCAGCCAUUCCGCGUGCAGGACGAAGGCCUUCGGGUUGUAAACUGCUUUUGUACAGAACGAAAAGCCUUGGGUUAAUACCCUGAGGUCAUGACGGUACUGUAAGAAUAAGCACCGGCUAACUACGUG